rnacentral:rRNA from 1 species
UAGGGAAUAUUGCACAAUGGAGGAAACUCUGAUGCAGCGACGCCGCGUGAGUGAUGAAGGCCUUCGGGUCGUAAAGCUCUGUUGUACGGGAAGAAGGUCAUUUACCUAAUACGUAAGAGGCUUGACGGUACCGUAUAAGAAAGGACCGGCUAACUUCGUGCCAGCAGCCGCGGUAAGACGAGGGGGUCCUAGCGUUGUUCGGAAUCAUUGGGCGUAAAGAGUAUGUAGGCGGCUUUUCAAGUCAGAUGUGAAAGCCCACGGCUUAACCGUGGAAAUGCAUUUGAUACUGUUAAGCUUGAGUGCGGAAGAGGAUGGUAGAAUUCCUGGUGUAGUGGUGAAAUACGUAGAUAUCAGGAGGAAUACCGGAGGCGAAGGCGGCCAUCUGGUCCGCUACUGACGCUGAGAUACGAAAGCGUGGGGAUCAAACAGGAUUAGAUACCCCCAGUACGUCC